AAACCUCCCAGGAAGUCACUUUCCCUUCUCUCUGGAUUCCUCCUCAGGAUAUCAGACUGGAUCAUAUGCCCUUUCCAGAAGCAACUGCCCUCAAGUGGAACAGAAUUCCCCUUAGGCCAAUGGGGUGACUCUUGAGAAUUUCCUAACCCCAGCUCAGGGUGAGAGAACAGAGCAAGAGAAGACAGGAGCAGAAAACUACAAAAACAACCAGAAAAUGAGUAACGAAAUGCCAAUGACUACAAUUUGAGCCUCAGCCUGUGGGGCCCGGAGAAACGGAGGAUCCAACAGAGCCAAGGUGAGGCCUCUUGGUUCCAAACUGCCACCAGCCGCCACGUAAUAUACACACACGCGCGCGCGCACACACACAGGUUCACGGAGCCCGAAAACAGGUCUUUGUGAUAAUGGUCUUCAACAGAAAGCCUGGGGCUGGGCUGGGAAAGAGAAACGGAGGGGUCCACAAGGGUGGUUCUUGGCCAGAGAAGUUUGCAAAGAAGCAGACAGUGCAGGUCCGAUCCAGGGGCCACUCGGACCCAUCACAUACUCUAGGUGGGUCCCAGGCCCCAUGGGAAAUUGAAUGAAAAUAAGCAACCUCUCCCUACAAAGAUACACACACACAGAUUUUUGCACAUUAAUUCAGUGGUUUGUGUCUUCUCCCUUCCCAACAUCUGUGUAUGCUAAUUAAAAACCCCUGCUCUCGGGCGUCCAGGUGGCUCAGUCAGUUAAGUGUCCAACUCUUAAUCUUGGCUCAGGUCUUGAUCUCAGGACACGAGUUCAAGCCCCAUGUUGGGCUCCAUGCCCAGCAUGAAAAAAAAAAAAAAAAAAAAACCAACAAACGAAACACACCUUUGCUCUAGUUAAAAACAGAAAAAGUUAAUUUCAGGAACACAAGUUUCAGUUGGAGUUCUGCUGUGCAAAACUGCCCUCCCCACCCCCGGCCCCCCCAGUUAGAGAUAAGACUAACGGAAAGGUAAAAGGGCGGUCAGAGAUAGCCUGGAAAGAAGCCAAGGAACCUGCACAAACAUUUCCAUGAAGCAGAACGGUGAAGGCUCCACGUGGCUCUAAAUGCAACUUGCCUGACAGCAGCAGCGGCUGAAGAAGCAUCUUUCCAUGUAACGAGCACGGGAGAGGCGGCCCCAGCCGACAGUGUGGCCCUGGCUGUGUUUCCUCUCGAGCUGCAGCUCAUCAGAGAGCAGAAAGAUAGGUGGAACCAAGGUUCGGAUGCAGAGGAAACUGGCCUGUAGGACGAGAAAGUGAAGUCAUAAACACAAGACACCAGGGUUUAGGUGGACACAUUCAAGGACUUUUGGGUGCUGUGGCGACAGGUCAGGCUUCAGACAUUUGCACGGCUCUCUCCUACACUCUGAACGCCAGACAAUGAAGGGGCAGAGAAUAAAAACUUCUGGGCUGCACAUUGGAUGACUGGAAAAAACUUCUGCAAGAAGGUUCACUGCAGGGUUAUCUAUAUUAGUGAAACACUGUCCUCAAAUAGGGACCAGUGGGGUCGAUGAGGGUGCGUUAUUUGAAAAAGGAUGCGGGAGGCUCCUGGGUGGCUCAGUGGGUUAAGCAUGAACAGAGGGAGGGGCAGAGGGAGAAGUGGACCCCUCGCUGAGCAGGGAGCCCCAUGCGGGACUCGAUCUCAGGACCCCGGGAUCAUGACCUGAGCCAAAGGCAGAUGCUCAACCCACUGAGCCACGGAGGCACCCUGUUUGUUUGUAUUUUAAUAAAGAAAUAAAAUAAAAUGCGGCUCCUAAUAUAUUUACAACGACA